GCUCUCUCCUUGAUCAAGUGCGAAGAAAAGCCUAUAAAUUGUAAGUUUUGUCACCUAUUUCUUCAAAUUGGUUCUAAACCAUCUUCUAGCAGAUCUAAGAGGCUGUAGCCUGCAGAUUGAUUCAUGACCAUGAAGACCUUACUUGUACUCUUUGUUGCAUUCCUCCCGAUCUUAGCAACUCUGCAGACCAAUGCAGAAACUCAUGUGACAGUGCAGGCCAAUUACGUCCAUCAGCUCUCAAGGACUGAAUCCACCCCUGGUCGAAAGGUUAACGGUGGUGCUAGUCAUGACAGUGUCAACAACGACGUCGUUGCCGCAAGCGCGGAGACUACAGCGGUCGCCAACAGUACUGAUACGGUCGAUACAGAUCACGAGGCGAACCCAAGCUAUCGCGGAAACAUCAAUGGAACUAAUUCUCCUUCGUCCAGUAAUACUCACCAUUUUUUUUCAGAUGAUCGCAAACCCCACAGAAACUAAUUAUCGAACCAGGAGAAGGGAGCUAAAUAUUUAUGCAUGAAUAAAUUAACAAAUAUGGUGUGGCUUAAUGCAAUAAAUUAAUUAUAUAAGCGGAACCAACGCGUGUUAGACGUAGCAGGCAUGGCCAAAGCACAAGCAUGCAUGUCCAAGAUGAAGUAAUUUUAGUUUCUUUUUAUGUAAUUUUGCGCAACGUACAGACUUCUAGCUUGCGUGCAAAUUAACUAUAAAUAUAUAUGUGUGUGUGUGUGUUGUGAAAUAUUAUUGCUUCUCUGAAAUGAAGGAAUCAUGCAUGCAUAGCAGCAUAUGGCUAGCAUGCAUGCUUCGUGUUUGCUAGCAUAUAUAUGCUCGAUAUGAUCAGUCGUUGUACCCUAGCUAGCUUGGUGGAA